AGACUGCGGGAGCUCUGAAGGGUCAGAGCCGGGCAGUCUAGCCCUGGUAUGGAAAAGCAUAAAACAUACACACAAAUAGCCGCCGCAGCGCUGAAUGCAUGUGUCACGCAGAGGGCAGCGGGCCAGCAGGGCCUCCUCGAUUCAUCGUGCCAAGCAUGACGGCGUGGUGGUGAUGAUGAUGGAGGAUGGGAGACUCAGGCGCAUCCCGCACUUCUCCCCCAGCGUGGGCGCUGUGAUUCAGCUGCUCAGAAAGAAACAGUCCUUGAGCAAGCACCUAUUGUGAUGGUUCAGCAAUAAGCGAGCAUGAACUACCACACACCCACGUGCACGCCUACAUUACCACAGUUUUUUCUCUACACUCUGGCCAUCAGUUCAUAUACUCACAGCCAAGAAUUAAUUUCUUAUCUCUUGCAGAACAACAGUUUUUCCUUGUGUUGUACAAAUUGGUUGAAUUGGAUGCUCAGCUUUUGAGAGAAUUUUCCCUCCUACAGGGCAAGGGACAGGGCCAGGUUUAUGACCACUGUGUUUGUGCUGAUCUGUGAAGUUCUCUUGUGGCUUGUUGUUAACAUUAAAUGUGAGUGGGAAGUUCUGCUCAAACAGAACUGAAAGAACAUCCUGGAAACAAGUUAUUGCAUGUUAAAGAUGAGGUUGGAAGGAACUACAUUUAUUCUUUCUAGGAGGUCCAGAAUAGGGUUGUAAUGCAAUGGCACUAUCUGUAUCUGCAUGUUUAUCUGCAUCUGAUUAGUGCUCAUAUUUAUAGUCAUAUCUAUGUCUGUAUCUGUAACCUGAAGUGGCUUCGCAACUCUAAUUUCAACCAGAUGCCC